rnacentral:rRNA from 1 species
AAUUUUGGACAAUGUGCGCAAGCCUGAUCCAGCCAUGCCGCGUGAGUGAAGAAGGCCCUCGGGGUGUAAAGCCCUUUCGGACGGAAAGAAAUCGCGCAGGCUAAGAUCCUGCGCGGAUGACGGUACCGGCAUAAGAAGCACCGGCCAACUACGUGCCAGCAGCCUCUGUAAUACGUAGGGUGCGAGGGUUAAUCGGAAUUACUGGGCGUAAAGCGUGCGCAGGCGAUUGAUUAAACCAGUCGUGAAAUCCCCGGGCUUAACCUGGGAACUGCGCUUGUGACUGGUCAGCUAGAGUAAGGCAGAGGGGGGUGGAAUUCCACGUGUAGCAGUGAAAUGCGUAGAGAUGUGGAGGAACACCGAUGGCGAAGGCAGCCCCCUGGGCCGAUACUGACGCUCAUGCACGAAAGCGUGGGUAGCAAACAGG